rnacentral:rRNA from 1 species
UAGGGAAUAUUGGGAAUGGGCGAAAGCCUGACCCAGCAACGCCGCGUGAGUGAUGAAGGCCUUCGGGUUGUAAAACUCUUUUUACCGGGAAGAGGAAGGACGGUACCGGUAGAAUAAGUCUCGGCUAACUACGUGCCAGCAGCCGCGGUAACACGUAGGAGACAAGCGUUAUCCGGAUUUACUGGGUGUAAAGCGCGUGCAGGCGGUCUAGUAAGUUGGAUGUAAAAGCUCCUGGCUUAACUGGGAGAGGUCGUUCAAGACUGCUGGACUAGAGGAUGGCAGAGGGGAGUGGAAUUCCGAGUGUAGCGGUAAAAUGCAUAGAUAUUCGGAAGAACACCAGUGGCGAAGGCGGCUCUCUGGGCCAUAUCUGACGCUCAGACGCGAAAGCUAGGGUAGCAAACGGG